GACGAACGCUGGCGGCGUGCUUAACACAUGCAAGUCGUACGGAAAGGCCCUGGCUUUGGUUGGGGUGCUCGAGUGGCGAACGGGUGAGUAACACGUGGGUGAUCUGCCCUGCACUUUGGGAUAAGCCUGGGAAACUGGGUCUAAUACUGGAUAGGACCAUGCUUUUGUGUGUCAUGGUGGAAAGGCUUCUUUUUGGGGCUGGUGUGGGAUGAGCUUGCGGCCUAUCAGCUUGUUGGUGGGGUAAUGGCCUACCAAGGCGUCGACGGGUAGCCGGCCUGAGAGGGUGUACGGCCACAUUGGGACUGAGAUACGGCCCAGACUCCGGCGGGAGGCAGCAGUGGGGAAUAUUGCACAAUGGGCGCAAGCCUGAUGCAGCGACGCCGCGUGAGGGAUGACGGCCGUCGGGUUGUAAACCUCUUUCGCUGGGGACGAAGCUUUUUUUGGUGACGUUACCUGGAGAAGAAGCACCGGCUAACUACGUG
rnacentral:rRNA from 1 species